CUAGCGACUCAGAGUUUGAUCCUGGUUCAGGAUGAACGCUGGCGGCAUGCCUAAGACAUGCAAGUCGAACGAAGUGGCCCAUUGAAGAUGAAGUGCUUGCACUGAUUUGGAUUUGGAUUCCCACUUAGUGGCAGACGGGUGAGUAACACGUGGGUAACCUACCCCUUAGUCUGGGACAACUAUUGGAAACGAUAGCUAAUACCGGAUGAUUCGUAGAAGGAUAACCUUCUAUGCUAAAAGGAGCUUCGGCUUCGCUUUGGGAUGGGCUUGCGGUGUAUUAGCUAGUUGGUAGGGUAAUGGCCUACCAAGGCAACGAUGCAUAUCCGAGCUGAGAGGCUGAUCGGGCACAUUGGAACUGAGAUACGGUCCAA
rnacentral:rRNA from 1 species